UACGGAGGGGGCUAGCGUUGUUCGGAAAUACUGGGCGUAAAGCGUACGUAGGCGGCUUGGCAAGUCAGGGGUGAAAUCCCGGAGCUCAACUCCGGAACUGCCCUUGAAACUGCCUGGCUAGAAUCUUGGAGAGGUCAGUGGAAUUCCGAGUGUAGAGGUGAAAUUCGUAGAUAUUCGGAAGAACACCAGUGGCGAAGGCGACUGACUGGACAAGUAUUGACGCUGAGGUACGAAAGCGUGGGGAGCAAACAGG
rnacentral:rRNA from 1 species